UACGAAGGGGGCUAGCGUUGUUCGGAUUUACUGGGCGUAAAGCGCACGUAGGCGGGUCUUUAAGUCAGGGGUGAAAUCCUGGAGCUCAACUCCAGAACUGCCUUUGAUACUGAAGAUCUUGAGUUCGGGAGAGGUGAGUGGAACUGCGAGUGUAGAGGUGAAAUUCGUAGAUAUUCGCAAGAACACCAGUGGCGAAGGCGGCUCACUGGCCCGAUACUGACGCUGAUGCACGAAAGCGUGGGGAGCAAACAGG
rnacentral:rRNA from 1 species